GUGGGGAAUAUUGCGCAAUGGGGGAAACCCUGACGCAGCAACGCCGCGUGAGUGAUGAAGGUCUUCGGAUCGUAAAGCUCUGUCGGCAGGAACGAUGAGUUUGUUGGCUAACAUCCAACGAACCUGACGGUACCUGCAAAGGAAGCACCGGCUAACUCUGUGCCAGCAGCCGCGGUAAUACAGAGGGUGCAAGCGUUGUUCGGAAUCAUUGGGCGUAAAGGGCGCGUAGGCGGCCUUACAAGUCGGAUGUGAAAGCCCAGGGCUCAACCUUGGAAGUGCAUCCGAAACUGUAGGGCUCGAAUCCUGGAGAGGGUGGUGGAAUUCCCAGUGUAGAGGUGAAAUUCGUAGAUAUUGGGAGGAACACCGGUGGCGAAGGCGACCGCCUGGACAGAGAUUGACGCUGAGGCGCGAGAGCGUGGGGAGCAAACAGG
rnacentral:rRNA from 1 species